AUCAGACUGAAGAUUUUACUCACCGGUGUCCAAUCUGAGGCCCAGUUGGUGGAGUCUGGAGGGGAUGUGAGAAGACCUGAGGAAUCCCUCCGUCUCUCCUGCCAAGCCUCUGGAUUCACCUUCAGCAGCUAUAACAUGGGCUGGGUGAGACAGCCUCCAUGGAA